AGUGAACGCUGGCGGUAGGCCUAACACAUGCAAGUCGAACGGCAGCACAGUAAGAGCUUGCUCUUACGGGUGGCGAGUGGCGGACGGGUGAGGAAUACAUCGGAAUCUACUUUUUCGUGGGGGAUAACGUAGGGAAACUUACGCUAAUACCGCAUACGACCUACGGGUGAAAGCAGGGGAUCUUCGGACCUUGCGCGAUUGAAUGAGCCGAUGUCGGAUUAGCUAGUUGGCGGGGUAAAGGCCCACCAAGGCGACGAUCCGUAGCUGGUCUGAGAGGAUGAUCAGCCAACCUGGAACUGAGACACGGCCCAGCCCCCCACGGGAGGCAGGAGUGGGGAAUAUUGGACAAUGGGCGAAAGCCUGAUCCAGCCAUACCGGGGGGGUGAAGAAGGCCUUCGGGUUGUAAAGCCCUUUUUUUGGGAAAAAAAAGCAGCAGGUUAAUCCCCCGCUGUUCUGACGGUACCCAAAGAGUAAGCCCCGGCAAACUUCGU
rnacentral:rRNA from 1 species